rnacentral:rRNA from 1 species
GAUCCUGGCUCAGGAUGAACGCUGGCGGCGUGCCUAAUACAUGCAAGUCGUACGAACAGCGGAAAGUGCUUGCAUUUUCCAAGUAAGUGGCGAACGGGUGAGUAACACGUGAAUAACCUACCUCAAAGUCUGGGAUAACCAUUGGAAACAGUGACUAAUACCGGAUAAAACCCAAGUGCACAUGCACUAAGGUUAAAAGCUGCGUUUGCAGCGCUUUAAGAUGGAUUCGCGGUGCAUUAGUUAGUUGGUGAGGUAAAGGCUCACCAAGACGAUGAUGCAUAGCCGAGUUGAGAGACUGACCGGCCACAUUGGGACUGAGACACGGCCCAAACUCCUACGGGAGGCUGCAGUAGGGAAUCUUCCACAAUGGGCGCAAGCCUGAUGGAGCAACGCCGCGUGUGUGAUGAAGGCUUUCGGGUCGUAAAGCACUGUUGUAUGGGAAGAACGGGUUUAAGAGGAAAUGCUUAGACAGUGACGGUACCAUACCAGAAAGGGACGGC